GACGUAGGGCGCGAGCGUUGUCCGGAUUUAUUGGGCGUAAAGAGCUCGUAGGCGGUUUGUCGCGUCUGCUGUGAAAAACUGGAGGCUCAACCUCCAGCCUGCAGUGGGUACGGGCAGACUAGAGUGCGGUAGGGGGAGAUUGGAAUUCCUGGUGUAGCGGUGGAAUGCGCAGAUAUCAGGAGAAACACCGAUGGCGAAGGCAGAUCUCUGGGCCGUAACUGACGCUGAGGAGCGAAAAGCAUGGGGAGCGAACAGG
rnacentral:rRNA from 1 species